rnacentral:rRNA from 1 species
UACGUAGGGUGCAAGCGUUAAUCGGAAUUACUGGGCGUAAAGCGUGCGCAGGCGGUUAUGUAAGACAGGUGUGAAAUCCCCGGGCUCAACCUGGGAACUGCAUCUGUGACUGCAUAGCUAGAGUACGGUAGAGGGGGAUGGAAUUCCGCGUGUAGCAGUGAAAUGCGUAGAUAUGCGGAGGAACACCAGUGGCGAAGGCGACUACCUGGCCUGUUCUUGACGCUGAGGCGCGAAAGCUAGGGGAGCAAACGGG